rnacentral:tRNA from 1 species
CUCGGGCUGGUGCAACCGGAAGCACAGCACGCUCUGAACGUGCGGAUCGGGGUUCGAAUCCUUGGCCCGAGG